AGAGUCAUGGCCAAGUUGUUACAUAACAGAUUCAAAAUCUGUUCCUCCCUCAUGGUGCAGGUUCGAAACCUGCUGACAAUA